AAAUUGAAGAGUUUGAUCAUGGCUCAGAUUGAACGCUGGCGGCAGGCCUAACACAUGCAAGUCGAACGGUAACAGGAAGCAGCUUGCUGCUUUGCUGACGAGUGGCGGACGGGUGAGUAAUGUCUGGGAAACUGCCUGAUGGAGGGGGAUAACUACUGGAAACGGUAGCUAAUACCGCAUAACGUCGCAAGACCAAAGAGGGGGACCUUAGGGCCU
rnacentral:rRNA from 1 species